GUGAGGAAUAUUGGUCAAUGGGCGGGAGCCUGAACCAGUCAAGUCGCGUGAAGGAAGAAGGAUCUAUGGUUCGUAAACUUCUUUUGCAGGGGAAUAAAGUGCAGGACGUGUCCUGUUUUGUAUGUACCCUGAGAAUAAGGAUCGGCUAACUCCGUGCCAGCAGCCGCGGUAAUACGGAGGAUCCGAGCGUUAUCCGGAUUUAUUGGGUUUAAAGGGUGCGUAGGUGGUUUGAUAAGUCAGCGGUGAAAGUUUGCAGCUUAACUGUAAAAAUGCCGUUGAAACUGUCGGACUUGAGUGUAAAUGAGGUAGGCGGAAUGCGUGGUGUAGCGGUGAAAUGCAUAGAUAUCACGCAGAACUCCGAUUGCGAAGGCAGCUUACUAAGCUACAACUGACACUGAAGCACGAAAGCGUGGGGAUCAAACAGGAUUAGAAACCCCGGUAGUCC
rnacentral:rRNA from 1 species